CUGAACGUUUUAUUGGGAGUUAUAAAAAUAGGUUCCUAGUAUCUCUCUAGAAAUAGUUCUUUAGCGAAUCCAGUGUAGAUUUUGGCAAAGCC